GAUAGUAAUAUGAUGGUGGGUGGCCAUAAUGUGAACCUUGCUGAUCCCAUAGUGGUGGACCACCAGAUCCUUGUGGCGGACGGUAGGCCUGCUGGCUGAAAACACCUGAUGACGACUUGACAGGCUAUUCCAGCACAGCAUACAAAAGUAAGUAAUAGGGAAAAAAAUUAAUAACCAGAAUAAUGAAAACAGGUAGAAUCGGUCAAUAACAAAGAUGCAGCUAUAGUGAUCCAAUUAAAUAUUAAACCCAGUUGCCAUGAUAGUCAAUACCAAAUAUUAAACCCUGAGCACUUAUUAAUUGUGAUGUUAUUCAAAUCCGAUUGAAGGACAUGCUCCUCCAAAACCAGUAAAAUGGUAAAAGAAGUAAUUUUCUUUAGCAUGUAGACUAUGUCAUCAAAACAUCUACCAAAUGUCAAGUGACAAAGCAACAAGCAGCAAGCUGUCAAGAUAAUGCAACAUCUAUAUCCUGCCAUUAUCAUCUAAAAGAGCUCAACUGCAGUACAUAAUAAAGUAAACAGCUAUACAACAGAAAUAUUAUCACAGAAAAAAUACUUCACCUCAGCAAAAAAAAAAAAAAAAAAGGAAAAUGGAAGAAGCCUGACAAUGCAACAGCAAAAUUAUGACAAUACGAAAGCAAAACUAUAAGCUAAAUUUCAAUCAAACAAUUCAACGAUAACUAGACAAAGAUGGCGAAACUUAGAAGAGGUGACAGAUUGGUAUAAUACUUCUUCUGCUUUCAACAUACCAACAUGUUUUGAAGACGGAAUAAAGUGAAAGCUGAACCAGGUUGAUACAUAGUAUUAUAUCAAUCUGUCAGAAGUAUUGAUGUUGCAUUCGCUUUCUUGAUAUAGCAUAGUCAGCAUAUUCACUUUCGUGCUCUGAAGAGAGGUGUCAGGCAUUAAAACCUCCAAUUGUAGGAUGCUUAAUGGCUGAAAAGAUUGCUUCAAGACUAAAAAUAAUGAUUCAGUAAGACUGUAUUGUGCUGGCAUUGACGCUCAAAACGAGCAGCUAUAUGAUUUGUAUGAGACCUUUUGGAAGAUAAGAGUCAUACCUGGUGAAGUCGUGUCUUCUGAUGAUUUUAACUGUGUUGAAGUUAUUUUCCUCUAUCUAGUUCUUUAUUGAGAAAAACAUAAUAGGUAAUUCUUGUCAUUUGGUCUGUUUUGAUGUUAAGUAAAUUUUAAUUAAGGUAGCCAUGAGAUCCAGAACCAGUCCAAAGAUGUUGUGUUGAUUUCCCUGCUUUCCAACAUAGGGGAGGGAUUUUAGUUAAGAGGAGUGCUAGGAACACUCUCUUUUCAACACUCUCUCCAACACUCACUCUUUUAUUGGGUGAAAUCAACAUAUAUGAACUCCACCCAAUAAAUGUGUGAGUGAUAGUGAGAGUGUUGAAAAGAGAGUGUUGCUAGCAUUCCUCUUUAGUUAAAUAUGUGUUUAGUUCAUGAGGGGAGGGAAUUUAAAACUAAUUUACCAUUUUCUCCUCAAUAUAAUACAAAACAAUAUAAUGGACAAAAAUUCAAAAACAAAAACAGAGUUAAUCUUCAACACAAUAGUAAUUUACCUAGCGGCGCAGCUUGUUGUCCGCUUGCCUUCUAUUCAUGUGUAAUUAAUCUUUGAUAUAUAAAAUAGUGAUUUUUUUAAAACAGAAUGAAACAAAAAAUAAUGAAGCAAAAUGUCGUGUAAACAAAAAACCCAAGUGUAUCAUCAGGUCAAAUAUAUGUUUAAAAGCAGGUAAAUAAGGAAACAUAUUUGCAUUGGUCCUUUAUCAUAUGGCUAGCGUAGUCUUUUCAAUUAAGUGUAUCAUCAGGUUAAAGAUAUUUCAGAAAGCAGGUAAAUCAACACAACAUAUUUGGACUGGUUCCGGGUCUCAUGGCUAACUUAAUUAAAAUUUACUUAACAUCAAAACAGACCAAAUGACAAGAAUUACUUAUCAUGUUUUUCUCAAUAAAAGAACUAGAUAGAGGAAUAUAACUUCAAUACAGUUAAAAUUAUCAGAAGACACGACUUCACCAGGUAUGACUCUUAUCUUCCAAAAGGUCUCAUACAAAUCAUACAGCUGCUCGUUUUGAGCGCCAAUGCCGGCACAAUAUAGUCUUACUGAAUCAUUAUUUUUAAGUCUUGAAGCAACCUUACCAACCAUUAAGCAUCCUGCAAUUGGGGGUUUUAAUGCCUGGCACCUCUCUUCUGAGAAAGUGAAUAUGCUGACUAUGCUACAUCAAGAAAGCAAUGCUGACCCCAUGGAAAAGUCAAUGGUCAAAUAUGCUUUUUUAAAGCCAACCAAUUCGAAAUUGGCACCUCAAGAUAAAUAAAUCAUCCCAACUGUCAUCUUGGUUUUACAUUUACGAUCUUCCUAAAAAUAUUUAAUUGACUUUGGCAUGGAUUAUAGUUCAAAUUCCAAACUCGUAAAAACUGUUUCAGGUGAUCUAUCUCACUUGCAUGGCAACAAUUGAUACAAUAGUACAAUACAUCCAUACACACAAUCAGGAUUUGUAUUGUUUUAGCAAAUGCAACUAUAGAGCAACACUGAACCAAUAUAGAGCAGGCAUAUUUAGUGUUUGUCCAGAUCUCUAUUUUAUACAUGCUAACAACACGGCAAAUACCUAGAUCCCUAUUCUACAGGAUCCCUAUUACAAGCAAUCAUUCUCCAGAACUAUUAUUUUUUGGUAUGAUAGAAUCAAAUGAAGUUAUAAACAGAAUUUGUAAUUACAAGAACAGUACCAAAACCAGUCACCGAUAACAAAUCUGAACUGAUCACACAUGCUUUCAAGCAGCUGUAAAUCAUAGAAAAACCUUUCAUGUACUACUGCAAAUAUCUUAACCAAUACCAUGAUACUCAUCAAGAACGACAGUACAUUGCAAUCAGUUUAGUUUAAACUAUAUAACCCGGUCACCUCCCCAAUCAGCAUGACAUAUAAACCUCAGUCUACCAUAGAAAAGAAGCAGAAAUUGGCACAUAUAUGGGUCUACUUUAAGUCAACAUAAACUUAGUGCAAUUUACUACAGAAAAUGCAAUGAGUGACUAAAUGAGUUUAUGCACCAUGUUUUUAACAUGAAAAUUCAACAAAAAAAUCACAACAUAAAAAGGAAUAUCAACAAUAUAUCAAAAACGCAAAAUGUUAGCAUUGAUAUAAUAACAUUAGUAAAACAUAAAUAUGCAUAAAUAAUAUCUAAACUAUCCAAUUGCAAACUUUAUCAUCACAAGAUAUGUAAUAGUUAAACAAACCUGGUUCAAGGUUUCCUUUAUCAUUUCUUGUGCAAUUUCAAUUUGCCUCUUAUCACCAGUAACUUGGACAGUCCUUUCUUUAGAAUCAUCGGGAAGAUGUUGAGGUAUCAA
rnacentral:lncRNA from 1 species